AUAAAAGGAUUUAAGAGCGUUUAAUGGAUGCCUUGGCAGUUAGCGGCGAUGAAGGACGUGGAAAUCUGCGAUAAGUUGAGGGGAACUGAUAACAAGUUUUGAUCCUCAAAUCUCCGAAUGGGGCAACCCACCGAUCUUGAUCGGUAUUGUCAUCUGAAUAAAUAGGGUGAUAAAGCAAACCUAGGGAAUUGAAACAUCUUAGUACCUAGAGGAAUAUAAAUCAAACGAGAUUCCGCAAGUAGUGGUGAGCGAACGCGGAUCAGCCCAGUGCUAUUUUAUUUAAAAGGAGAAGGUUCUGGAAAGGACCGCCAUAGUGGGUGAUAGCCCCGUAUCUGGUGAUUAAAUAGAGUAGACUCGAGUAAGGCGAAACCCGAGAAAUUUUGUCUGAAUAUGGGGGGACCAUCCUCCAAGGCUAAAUACGUCUAACUGACCGAUAGUGAACUAGUACCGUGAGGGAAAGGUGAAAAGUACUCCGAGAGGAGGAUGAAAUAGAAUCUGAAAUUGAACGCUUACAAGCAGUCGGAGGGGGCUUGUCCCCUGACGGCGUACCUUUUGUAUAAUGGGCCAACGAGUUAAUGUUGUAUGCAAGCUUAAACCGUUAGGUGUAGGCGUAGGGAAACCAAGUCUGAAUAGGGCGCGCAGUAUGCAGUAUUAGACCCGAAAUCAAGUGAGCUAGCCAUGAGCAGGCUGAAGGUGCAGUAAAAUGCACUGGAGGGCCGAACCAGUAACGAUGAAACGUUUUGGAUGACUUGUGGUUAGGGGUGAAAGGCCAAUCGAACUUGAACAUAGCUGGUUCUCCGCGAAAACUAUUUAGGUAGUGUGUUAUGUAUAACUAUGAGGGGUAAAGCACUGAAUUGGCUAGGGGGUCGCGAGACCUACCAAACCAAAUUAAACUCUGAAUACUCAUAAGUUUUAGCAUAGCAAACAGACUAUGGGUGAUAAGGUCCGUGGUCAAGAGGAAAACAGUCCAGACUAUCAGCUAAGGUCCCUAAUUAGUAGUUAAGUGUAAAAGGGAGUGACUCGUCCAUGACAGUUAGGAGGUUGGCUUAGAAGCAGCCAUCCUUUAAAGAUAGCGUAACAGCUCACUAAUCUAAUCAAGACAAGUCGCACCGAAGAUGUAACGGGGCUAAAACUACUAACCGAAGCUGUAGAUCGUAUAUUUUUAUACGAUGGUAGCGGAGCGUUCUGUAAGCCGUUGAAGUUCUACCGAGAGGUAGGGUGGAGGUAUCAGAAGUGAGAAUGUUGGCAUAAGUAGCGACAAGUAGGGUGAGAGACCCUGCCGCCGAAAUCCCAAGGGUUCCUGUUCUAUGUUAAUCAGAGCAGGGUGAGUCGAUGCCUAAGUCGAGGCCGAAAGGCGUAGACGAUGGUAACACGGUUAAUAUUCCGUGACCAGUCAGAUCGUGACGGAUCUCGUAUAUUGUCUUUUCUUAUUGGAUUGAAAAGGCAGUGAAGAGGUUCCAGGAAAUAGCUCUGACACAAUGAUCGUACCAAUCCAAAACUGGUGGGAAGGUCGAGUAGACCAAGGCGUUUGAGAGAACCAUGUUGAAGGAACUAGGCAAAUUACAUCCGUAACUUCGGGAUAAGGAUGACUCUAAUCAAGGCAACUUUUUUAGAGUGACACAAACUAGGGAGGGGCGACUGUUUACUAAAAACACUUGUCUCUGCAAAAUCGUAAGAUGAUGUAUAGGGGCUGAGACCUGCCCAGUACUGGAAGAUUAAGAUGACGGGUUCACGCUCUGAUUUGAAGUCCCAGUGAACGGCGGCCGUAACUAUAACGGUCCUAAGGUAGCGAAAUUCCUUGUCGGGUAAGUUCCGACCUGCACGAAUGGUUUAACGAUCCCUCCACUGUCUCCAACAUGGACUCAGCGAAAUUGAACUCUCUGUGAAAAUGCAGAGUACUCGCGGCUAGACGAAAAGACCCUAUGAACCUUUACUAUAGCUUCGUAUGGGUGGAAGAGCAUAAAUAUGUAGAAUAGGUGGGAGCCUUUGAUGUAGUCUCGUUAGGGACUGCUGAGGCAUCAGUGAAAUACCACUUUUUUAUGUUUUUUCAUCUAACUGAUCGCCAUUAUCUGGCGACAGGACAAUGCGUGGUGGGUAGUUUGACUGGGGUGGUCGCCUCCUAAAGAGUAACGGAGGCGCGCGAAGGUUUGCUCAGGUUGGUCGGAAAUCAACUGUUGAGUGUAAUGGCACAAGCAAGCCUGACUGCAAGAGAGACAUCUCGAGCAGAGACGAAAGUCGGUCAUAAUGACCUGGUGGCUCCGUAUGGAAGGGCCAUCAAACACGGAUAAAAGGUACUCUAGGGAUAACAGGCUUAUACUACCCAAGCGUUCACAGCGACGGUAGUGUUUGGCACCUCGAUGUCGACUCAUCUUAUCCUGGGGCUGGAGAAGGUCCCAAGGGUUCGGCUGUUCGCCGAUUAAAAAGGUACGUGAGUUGGGUUUAAAACGUCGUAAAACAGUUUGGUCCCUAUCUACCGCGAGCGUUGGAUAUUUGUUGGUAAUUCUUCCCUAGUACGAGAGGACCGGGAAGAGCGAACCUAUGGUGUACCUGUUGUUCCGCCCGGAGCAUCGCAGGGUAGCUAAGUUCGUUUAAGAUAAUCGCUGAAAGCAUCUAAGUGAGAAACUUUUCCAGAGAUAAGAUAUCCCUAUGAGUGUCGUGGAAGAACACCACGUCGAUAGGCAGGAGGUAUAAGGACCGCGAGGUCUUCAGCUUACCUGUACUAAUAACACCACUGACUUUUAUAA
rnacentral:rRNA from 1 species